ACCCACGGCCAGUACGGCUGUGUCGAUCAUAGGGCCUAGCCUCAUCACCUCGGCGAGGGCCACGGCCACCACUGGGGCCACUACGAGUUCCACCACCCGGGCCACUACGUGUUCCACCAACGGUACGCCUCUCAGUUGGCCUACCUGACUCGCCAUCGACUGCUGGCUUGUGGCCAUAUCCAUUGCUGUUCCCAGACUCAAACUCGUUGUUGUAAUCUCGACGGCCUUCACCACCACGGUAUCCUCCACGGCCUUCACCAC
rnacentral:lncRNA from 1 species